GAAUGGAAUAUCCAAGGCCUUCCGUCUGAUGCCUUCUCCACUGAGAACGGAGUCAUCGUCACCCGUGGCAACCGAUGGCCACUAAUGGUGGACCCUCAAGGACAAGCGCUUAAGUGGAUUAAGAACAUGGAGUCCAAACGGGGGUUGAAGGUUAUAGACCUGCAAAUG